GACGAAGGGGGCUAGCGUUGUUCGGAUUUACUGGGCGUAAAGCGCGCGUAGAUGGCUUUUUAAGUGAGUGGUGAAAUCCCGGAGCUCAACUCCGGAAUUGCCUUUCAUACUGAAAAGCUUGAGCACAAAAGAGGAUAGCGGAAUUUCCAGUGUAGCAGUGAAAUGCGUAGAUAUUGGAAGGAACACCAGUGGCGAAAGCGGCUAUCUGGUUUGUCGCUGACAUUGAGGCGCGAAAGCGUGGGGAG
rnacentral:rRNA from 1 species